GAUGAACGCUGGCGGCGUGCCUAAUACAUGCCAGUCGAGCGAACGGACGAGAAGCUUGCUUCUCUGAUGUUAGCGGCGGACGGGUGAGUAACACGUGGAUAACCUACCUAUAAGACUGGGAUAACUUCGGGAAACCGGAGCUAAUACCGGAUAAUAUUUUGAACCGCAUGGUUCAAAAGUGAAAGACGGUCUUGCUGUCACUUAUAGAUGGAUCCGGGCUGCAUUAGCUAGUUGGUAAGGUAACGGCUUACCAAGGCAACGAUGCAUAGCCGACCUGAGAGGGUGAUCGGCCACACUGGAACGGAGACACGGUCCAGACUCCUACGGGAGGCAGCAGUAGGGAAUCUUCCGCAAUGGGCGAAAGCCUGACGGAGCAACGCCGCGUGAGUGAUGAAGGUCUUCGGAUCGUAAAACUCUGUUAUUAGGGAAGAACAUAUGUGUAAGUAACUGUGCACAUCUUGACGGUACCUAAUCAGAAAGCCACGGCUAACUACGUG
rnacentral:rRNA from 1 species